AAGGGCCAUCGCUCAACGGAUAAAAGCUACCCCGGGGAUAACAGGCUUAUCUCCCCCAAGAGUUCACAUCGACGGGGAGGUUUGGCACCUCGAUGUCGGCUCAUCGCAUCCUGGGGCUGUAGUCGGUCCCAAGGGUUGGGCUGUUCGCCCAUUAAAGCGGUACGCGAGCUGGGUUCAGAACGUCGUGAGACAGUUCGGUCCCUAUCCGUCGUGGGCGUAGGAAAUUUGAGAGGAGCUGUCCUUAGUACGAGAGGACCGGGAUGGACAUACCUCUGGUGUACCAGUUGUCGUGCCAACGGCAUAGCUGGGUAGCUAUGUGUGGACGGGAUAAGUGCUGAAAGCAUCUAAGCAUGAAGCCCCCCUCAAGAUGAGAUUUCCCAACUUCGGUUAUAAGAUCCCUCAAAGAUGAUGAGGUUAAUAGGUUCGAGGUGGAAGCAUGGUGACAUGU
rnacentral:rRNA from 1 species